CAAAAGCACAAGUUCGUUCUCUUUUGAAAAUUCGAAUCGCUUCAGCCGGUGAUUGUCUCCGCUACGGUAACAAAUAUAUAUUUUUAAACAGCAAAAUUUUAAAAAACUUCGAAAAUCCAAUGCUGUGUGUGUUUCUCGAAAAUCGUGUGAACUUAAUAGCCGUGCGCCGAGAAAACUGGAAAGGCAACUACCCUGGCUUGAAGUGCCUAUUUGCCAUGCCUCGUCACCAAUUAUUUUGCAAAACCGUGCGUCCCACAUCUCUGCCAGAAAAUAACGAAACUCGUGUCCCCGUGGAAAAGUCGGAAAAACGAUUUUUAUGAGGAUGCCACCAAAGCCACGUAUCAGCAAGCUAACGCUGCCUGUUUGCUUGAAGUCCGCUCGUACUGAGCUGCUUUUUACUGUGGAGUUACCCGCUGGAGCUGGUCAUGGUAAUUGUUGCAAUUAAUAUGGAUACAAAUUUUGUUAUACUUAAAUGUGCAUGUGUAUAUGUACACAAGUAAAAUAAUACUAAUCAAUUUUAAAUAAACUGAUAAAUGAUGAACCCAAAAAAA